GCUCCAGUGGCGCAAUCGGUUAGCGCGCGGUACUUAUAAUGCCGAGUUUGUGAGUUCGAUCCUCACCUGGAGCA